rnacentral:rRNA from 1 species
AAUGGGCGAAAGCCUGAUGCAGCCAUGCCGCGUGUGUGAAGAAGGCCUUCGGGUUGUAAAGCACUUUCAGCGAGGAGGAAAGGAUGUUGUUUAAUACGCAACAUCUGUGACGUUACUCGCAGAAGAAGCACCGGCUAACUUCGUGCCAGCAGCCGCGGUAAUACGAGGGGUGCAAGCGUUAAUCGGAAUUACUGGGCGUAAAGCGUGCGUAGGUGGUUUGUUAAGCAAGAUGUGAAAGCCCCGGGCUCAACCUGGGAACUGCAUUUUGAACUGGCAAACUAGAGUAUUGUAGAGGGUAGUGGAAUUUCCAGUGUAGCGGUGAAAUGCGUAGAGAUUGGAAGGAACAUCAGUGGCGAAGGCGGCUACCUGGACAAAUACUGACACUGAGGCACGAAAGCGUGGGGAGCAAACAGGAUU